GUGGGGAAUUUUGGACAAUGGGGGCAACCCUGAUCCAGCAAUGCCGCGUGAGUGAAGAAGGCCUUCGGGUUGUAAAGCUCUUUUGUCAGGGAAGAAAAGGACCGGGUUAAUACCCUGGUUUCAUGACGGUACCUGAAGAAUAAGCACCGGCUAACUACGUGCCAGCAGCCGCGGUAAUACGUAGGGUGCGAGCGUUAAUCGGAAUUACUGGGCGUAAAGCGUGCGCAGGCGGUUGUGUAAGACAGAUGUGAAAUGCCCGGGCUUAACCUGGGAAUUGCAUUUGUGACUGCACGGCUAGAGUGUGUCAGAGGGGGGUAGAAUUCCACGUGUAGCAGUGAAAUGCGUAGAUAUGUGGAGGAAUACCGAUGGCGAAGGCAGCCCCCUGGGAUAACACUGACGCUCAUGCACGAAAGCGUGGGGAGCAAACAGGAUUAGAUACCCUAGUAGUCC
rnacentral:rRNA from 1 species